AUUGAACGCUGGCGGCAGGCCUAACACAUGCAAGUCGAGCGAGCGGCGGUCGGGUGAGUAAUGCCUAGGAAUCGGCAUGGUAGUGGGGGAUAACGUCCGGAAACGGUAGCCAAUACCGCAUACUAUCCGAUGUGCCCAGAUGGGAUUAGCUAGUGGGUGGGGUAACGGCUCACCAAGGCGACGAUCCCUAGCCUGUCUGAGAGGUUGACCAGCAACACGGGAACUGAGACACGGUCCAGACUCCUACGGGAGGCAGCAGUGGGGAAUAUUGCACAAUGGGCGCAAGCCUGAUGCAGCCAUGCCGCGGGUAUGAAGAAGGCCUUCGGGUUGUAAAGUACUUUCAGCGGGGAGGCGUUACCCGCAGAAGAAGCACCGGCUAACUCCGUGCCAGCAGCCGCGGUAAUAC
rnacentral:rRNA from 1 species